UACGGAGGGUGCAAGCAUUGAUCGGAAUUACUGGGCGUAAAGGGCGCGUAGGCGGUUAGAUAAGUCAGAUGUGAAAUUCCGGGGCUCAACCCCGGAGCUGCAUUUGAAACUGUCUAGCUAGAGUUCAGUUAGGGUAAACGGAAUUCCACGUGUAGCGGUGAAAUGCGCAGAUAUCGGGAAGAACACCGGUGGCGAAGGCGGCGCUCUGGACCGAGACUGACGCUGAGGCGGCGAAAGCGUGGGGAGCAACAGGG
rnacentral:rRNA from 1 species